GGUAGGUCUACGCCCUGGGUGUGAAGUUUGGUUGUAUGUAAGGCCCAGGAGCAUCUAGCAUGGAGGUUCUACACCUGGGGUGGUCCUCUCUGGAACAUCUUCACGUCAGCUUCCAGUCUGAGAAAACAGGAGAAUGAGCAGCUGGGUCCCUCACAGAGGUGCCAUUAUCAUCUUGGGGAACCCUGAGAUGUUCAAGCCAGGAAUACAUAUUCAGACCAUACUCUAGUGAAUGGAGGAAUUGUCCUGGCCCAGAAUUUGAGGGCCCCACCUUCCUGUAUCCAGUUUUCUAAGCUAUAAUUUAGUGAAGCAAGUUGGGAAGAGGAGAUAUCAUUUCUCAAUUGGUACUAAAAAAAAGAAAGAAAAAAGCCUGAGGUUCGUGUGCUUACCAAAAUCUGCUAAUCCUACCCUUACAAGAUGAGACUCUACUUCUCAUGUUCUCCACAUAUCCCUCAGGCUCCCGGACUUUUUUGAGGCUACCAUCAUCCACUUUAGUUCAAUUGUACCUGUAAUAAAUAUG
rnacentral:lncRNA from 1 species